CAUGUUUGGGUAGUGUGGCUGAUCGAAUGAUGGUGUCUAGUGUGUUUGUUGUUAUUUUAGUUAUUGACGUGGGUGGCGAGCGUUCAAACACAAAAUGGUGCAGGAAACAAUGUGUUGACUGACAUCAGUACUAAUGCCGCAUAACAAAUGUCAGUGAAAUUGAUACGUAGACUCCUUUUAAAACGACACGGAAGAUGGCAUUCCUGAAACACAAGUGUUUAUAGAGGAUGAUGAAGAUUUCAUAAUAAUAUUGUACAUAGCCAGUGGAGUUUACCAUGGCUCAUUCUGGAAGUUCAGAUCAUUCGACAAGUUUUCCAGCGCCGAUUUGGGCGCCAUCAAUUCCACCUCCACCGUAUGUUCCAUCGGAAUGGGCAACAUCAGAGGCCGCAGUGUUCCAGCCUGCUGUAAACACGCUAUUUUCUUUUCCACCUUGCAGCAACGCUCCACCUCCACCAGUACCGCCAUGUCCUCCACAUCAGCAGGUGACGAUACCCUUCAAUAAUCCUGUAAACCAAGUUCCACCUCCUGGCGCUCCUUACCGUACUUACAGUCAACCACAUGGACAGCAAGAUGGAGAUUGUAAUCGCUUCAUUAGUUGUCAGAACCAGAAGAUAGAAGGAAACUCUCAGUCUGUGUAUGUGCCACCGUAUCCACCACCUGUAGCACCAGUAACUUCAAGUAUUUCAGUGUCAUAUCCUGCAAAUUUUUCUCAGGUUAGUAAUGUACAGAAUAAUUCUCAGUGGUCAAAUGAUGUUCCAGUUCCAGUAAAUCCCUGGUACAAUAAGGAUCUUCCUCAGAAUUCUGUUUUAAACUGUUAUGGUAUUAAUGACUCUGGUUCCCACCAAAAUUUGCCUUUUGGACCUGAUGCGACGGAGGCAUGGGGAUUACUUCCCAAAUCGUUGGGCAAAAAUCCACAUAUUAGCAGUGAAGCGGAGAAAAGUAAUCGUAGGGGACGCCGUCAUUCUCCAGGGAGAUCAGAUCGUAGUAAGCCAGAGAGGAGAAACAAUCGUGAUGAAAACAGUGAAAGGCGACGAACUCGUGAAAGAAGUGUAUCCAGUCAUCCUAGUCCGCGCAGAAAGCGAUCCUAUAGUCCCGAUCGUUCAAAUAAAAGGCGUAGUCGAGAAAGGUCCCACAGUCGUAAAUAUGAUAAGCGAACUAGUGAACCUGACUAUAGAUCUGGAUCUUCAUCUAGUGACUGGCUGUCGAAGCGCAGUGAUAGAAGUAGGCACCACCCUCACAGAGAAAGCAGCCGACGUUCGAAGUCACCAGACAAACGCUUAUCAAAUAGGUCGCAAAGGCGAUAUUCAAAAAGUCCUGGGAGAAAACGAAGUGUGGAUAGGAGGCCUAGCGAUAACCCAGUCAUUAAUUCUAGUGAGAAGGAACUCAGUGUGUCAGUUUUGUGCAGCAGUACGGAAGAGUCAGCCAGAAGAUCAUGUUCACCGAAGUCAGACAACAAGCAGGAGAAAUCGAAAGAAAAAAUCAAGAAAGUAUAUUCGGAAAGAGAUGCUCUUUUACGGAAGUGGAGGCAGAAUUAUUGCUCCAACAUUGCAGAAAUGCAAAUGAAGCUGGAAGAGUUAUCUAAGUUGAAACCUGAACAAAUACUGGAACAUGAGAAAAAAGUGUGGACACGCUCAGCACCAGCUGAUCUUUAUUAUGCAAGAGAUGAAAAUAAUGUAAAAGUUAUGAGAGCCACUCCAAAACUGACAGCCUUGUGUGACAAAUUUGAAGAUGAGAUUGUGAAGAGGGCACAAAAAGUGAGAGAGUCUCAGCCACCUUAUGAACCACCACCGCGGAAAAAGAGGCUGCGCUUGGCCAAGCACAAGUCUGAAAUACGUGACUCAAGUUGCAGCUCUAGUGAAGAAAGUUCAACUGAUGAGGAAGAUUGCACAAUGGAAGAACUAGAAAGAAAGAGGCUACAUCCAUAUCGUUUGCACCCAGAAAUGUGGUUCAAUGAUCCAGGAGAGAUGAAUGACGGUCCCUUGUGCCGGUGCAGUGCAAAAGCUCGACGAAGUGGUAUACGACAUGGAAUAUAUGCUGGUGAGAGUCACUUACUGAAAUGUGAUAUAAAUACAAAUAAUGCUGAUCGACUUUACCAUUAUCAUAUUACUAUAUCUCCACCAACAAAUUUUUUGACUAAAACGCCAACAAUCAUUAAACAUGAUGAACAUGAGUUUAUUUUUGAAGGCUUCUCAAUGUUUUCUCACUUUCCUUUGCACAAGCUACCUACAUGUAAAGUUAUUCGCUUCAAUAUUGAAUACACUAUUCUUUACAUUGAGGAAAAGCUUCCUGAGAACUUUACAAUACGAGAGCUGGAUCUUUUUUAUACAUAUCUCUUUAAGGAGAUACUGGAACUUGUAGACAUGGAUUUUCAUGCCCAUUCUGAUUCAUCUGGCUGUGCUCAAUUCCACUUUAUGCCAAGAUUUGUGCGAGAUCUGCCAGAUAAUGGAAAAGAAAUAUUAUCAAUGAAUGAAGUGCUGAUAUAUCUUAUGAAUAACAGUCAUCCGCUCAUAGAAGAUGACAAGUUAGAGAAAUUGCUUAGUAUGUCUCAGUACAAGUGGCAGAAUUUUGCUGAUGAAGUGAAAGGUAUGGUUGUAACAUAUCCUGGUAUGAAACCAUGCUCCGUAAGAGUUGACCAACUAGACAGGGACCAGCACAAGAAAGCUACUCCAUCUUACCCAGAGAUAGUGCAUUUUGGAAUAAGACCUCCACAGCUCAGUUAUGCAGGAAAUCCUGAAUAUCAGAAAGCUUGGAGGGAGUAUGUAAAGUUUCGCCAUCUUUUGGCUAACAUGCCCAAGCCUUCUUUUGAGGAUAAACGAAAACUUGAAGCCAAAGAAAAUAGAUUGCAGGAGAUGCGUACUCAAAGCAAAAUGAAGAGAGAUGUUACAGUAGCUGUUCCUUCUAAAGGUUUCCAUAGGACUGGCAUCAUGUGUGAUAUCAUACAGCAUGCCAUGUUGAUUCCAGUGCUUGUGUGUCAUUUGCGGUUUCAUAGAUCAUGUGAUGUGCUGGAGGAAAGUAUUGGCUAUAAAUUUGAAAAUAGGUUUCUACUUCAGCUAGCUUUAACACAUCCUUCAUAUAGAGAAAAUUUUGGUACAAAUCCAGACCAUGCUCGAAAUUCCUUAACAAACUGCGGCAUAAGGCAGCCAGAAUAUGGAGACAGAAGAAUACAUUACAUGAAUACACGUAAGAGAGGAGAGAACUCCUUACAAACUGAUGGGCAGCCCUUAAGUGGUUCUCCAUCCACCUCCACAGUGGAACAUAAUGCAACACGCUCCUCCCCAGACUAUGUUAAAACACAGCAAUGCUCAAGUAAUAAAAGGAAGAGCCCUGAAAGAGGGAUUAAUACACUCAUCAAUAUUAUGUCACGUUUUGGGAAAAAGACAGAAACUGAGUCAAAUAUUACUCACAAUGAAAGGCUGGAAUUCUUGGGUGAUGCUGUAGUGGAAUUUUUGUCCUCUAUUCAUCUGUUCCACAUGUUUCCUGACUUAGAAGAAGGAGGACUGGCAACUUACAGAGCAGCUAUAGUCCAGAACCAGCACCUUGCUGUUUUGGCUAAGACUCUUAAAUUGGAGGAUUAUAUGCUGUAUGCCCAUGGUUCUGACCUGUGUCAUGAUUUGGAGCUUAGACAUGCUAUGGCUAACUGCUUUGAAGCCUUAAUGGGGGCCCUGUUUCUGGAUGGAGGAAUUGGAGUGGCAGACAAGGUAUUUUCAGAAACAUUAUUUAAGGAAGAUCUGGAUUUGUUAGAUGUGUGGGUGAACUAUCCUCCACAUCCUCUGCAAGAACAAGAGCCAAUGGGGGAUAGAAAGUGGAUACCAGCUUUUGAGCUUUUGCAAAAACUGACAAAAUUUGAAGAAUCUAUUGGAGUUGAAUUUAAACACAUAAGGCUCUUGGCUCGAGCAUUUACGGACCGAAGCAUUGGUUACACCAACUUGACACUGGGUUCAAAUCAGAGGCUUGAGUUCCUUGGAGAUACUGUCCUGCAGUUAAUUGCUUCAGAGUAUUUGUACAAAUACUUUCCUGAGCACCAUGAAGGUCAUUUGUCUCUUCUCCGCAGUUCACUCGUGAACAACAGAACUCAGGCAGUAGUAUGUGACGAUUUGGGCAUGACAAGUUAUGCCCUCUACUCUAAUCCAAAGGCUGAAUUGAAGACAAAGGACAGAGCUGAUCUGCUGGAAGCGUUCCUUGGUGCCCUUUAUGUUGAUAAGGGACUUCAGUACUGCCAAGUGUUUUGCCAUGUGUGUUUCUUUCCUCGUCUGCAAGACUUCAUUAUGAACCAGGACUGGAAUGAUCCAAAGUCUAAGCUACAACAGUGUUGUCUCACCUUACGCACCAUGGAGGGAGGGGAGCCUGAUAUUCCUCUUUACAAAGUAAUUGAAUGCAAAGGCCCAACUAAUACUCGAGUUUAUACAGUAGCUGUUUAUUUUCGAGGCGAGCGGCUUGCGAAGGCUUCUGGACAUAGUAUUCAACAGGCUGAGAUGAGUGCAGCCAAAGAGGCUUUGGAGCUUUCACAUGGGCUGUUCCCACAGUUGGACCAUCAGAAACGGGUUAUUGCUAAAAGCAUGAAAAGACAAACUUGGCCCAAGCGCGCCUCAAUGCCACACAAAUCAAGAGCUUCUCGUACUCCAUCUGAAGGCAACAGGCGCCUGAGUGCAGAUCGAACUCCACGAAAGGAAUAAUGAAGAAGAGGUUUCAGAGCAGCCAGAACAACCUGUAGGAACCAACAGAAAGUUUGACCAGUACACUCAAGUAUUCAUCCAGUAAGGACUACAGAAGAAGUACAAACAGGGGAAAAACUAGAGAGAGAUUUGCAAGGGCGAAUGCUGUGGAUGCCUGUCUGCAGUGACAUCUACCGGCAACUGAGGCUUGACUCCAUUUUCUGCAACAUUCUUUGUCUUAAAGGAGGCUUCAACAGAACAUCAGAAUGCAGUGAAGGAUAUUGCAUUUGUUAUGCAUGAAAAUAUAGUAUCAAUGGAAACAACUGAGUUAUAUCUCUGCAAUGUGAAAUAAACUGUUAUACAUAUCCUCCUCUAUUUUGGUUUCUUGCACGGUAACACGUCAAUGGAUUACUUUGCAACAUGUCUUAUCUCCAGAACAAAAAAUUGUGUGUAAGAUAUAGUUAUUAUACAUGAAACAUUAUUAUGAA